UGAACACCUGUGCCAGCUCAGCAUCACCACAGUGCAUGAGCACGUAGAAGUUAAGUCACUGGAAAGCGAACAAGGCUGGAGCCUUAGUGGUGCUGGUGGAUCAGAUAACUGCUGAAAAUUUUAAACAAACCAGAGCUCUGGCAGGACCCUGCUAGACGCUUCGUCCAAACAUAUCAUCUUACAACUCAGAUAAAAGGAUCUGCUGGAUUUUCUUUUGGCUGAGAUAAGACAUUUGUAUUCAUUGAAACCAAUGUUAAUGUAUGAAGGGCAGCUACACACAGAUGUAGAAGGAGAGCGAGGAAACACAUCAGCAGGCUGCUGCUGUGCCCCUGUUAGCUCGGCUUUUUAUUGUGUCUUUGGAGUGCAGACGCUUCCCGGACAGACAACUGCACGAGGGCUGCUGAUUUUCAACCAGUGGCCUGCAAACAUCACAUUGCUGUGACUCAGCAGAGGACCUUUUUCUGGAGAGGCACUCCACCUGAGCUUUCCACAGCAGCCAAUGUGUCACAUAACUUUUCUUAUGAGGCUCCUGAAGUCCUGGGGGUCAGCCUGCAAAGUGAAAAAUGCAGAGAUCUAGGAAUGGCUCAGCCAGCUGAAAGUUACGGGAAGGGAAAGGCUCCAGUUUCACUGAAGGAAAAAAAAAAAAAAAGAAGAAGAAGAAGAAUGGCUCCUUUCAAUGCAGACGGAGGCAGUCUGGCUGAGAGUCAGUGAGGUUUAAAAAUCCAAGAGGUCCAAUAACUGAAAAUCUGUAUAGAUUCAAAGCAGUGUUUUAAAUACCGCACAAGUGUAGAUAAAAAAAAAAAAAAUUUAAAAAGCAUGUGAUGGUUUUUCCAUCCUCCUAGUGCACAUAGCCAACCGUGUCCCAAAACCAGGCAGUAUUUCUUCCCCUUAAGACCCUGAGCACAUGUGUCUAAGACCUGUCCAUUUCAUCAAAGAAUGAGAGUGAAGAGCUCCUGUUGGAUU